AGCAUCCUGCAACAAGAUCUUUGACAGAAAAAGAAGAAACUCUGUGAACAGGCCUUCCUGUUAAACUCAGGAAUGGAGGAAGCCGGCUGCCAGCCAGAGCUGGUUCCCGUGCAAGGUCCUGGAAUCGCGCUUGCAGGUGCCAGCAGGACACUGACCUGUGCAAGCGGGCUCCUGCAUGAGCUGCAGCAUCUCCUUGGUACUCGGCAAUAGCUGCAGCAGGAGCUGCAACACAAGCACGAGGGACUGAGCACGGGAGCAAGCCGUCCGCUAUUUCCAUUCUGCUGGAGGUCCACCCACGUCCGAGGUGGUGCUCCUGCCCCCAGGGCACCUUGUCCGCCAGGUAGGACAGAAGUCGGAACAGAAACACCGAUGAGGACACACCACUCAGCGAGCAGGGCUAUUCAUUCUCUGUGCUGACAUCCUGGCUGGGUGAGCUCUCUCUGGAGCAGGCUGGCUCCCAGCCUUCCCCGGGCAGGGGUCUGCCCAAGCGUGCCCAGCACCCACCCGCCACUCCUGGUCCCCAGGGGCCAGCCUGGGCUCCUCGCCCCUAGGGUGCAGCCAGUGCCAGCAUUGCCCGCGGCAGCAGGAGGGGGACGGGUGGCACCUGCCUGCGCGAGGGCUCCGGGAGCAGCGCGGGGGCCUCAACGUGGGG